rnacentral:rRNA from 1 species
GACGAACGCUGGCGGCGUGCUUAACACAUGCAAGUCGAACGAAGUGGCGAACGGGUGAGUAACGCGUAAUCCACCUGCCCUUCAGAGGGGGACAACAGUUGGAAACGACUGCUAAUACCUCAUACUGCAGGAGGGGAUUGCGUCGGAUUAGCUAGGUGGAGGGGUAACGGCCCACCAAGGCGAUGUUCAGUAGCCGGUCUGAGGGGAUGAACUGCCAAAAUGGGACUUAGACACGGCCCAGACUCCUACGGGAGGGAGCAGUGGGGAAUCUUCCGCAAUGGACGAAAGUCUGAAGGAGCAACGCCGCGGGAAGGAUGACGGCCUUCGGGUUGUAAAGCUCUGUUAAUCGGGACGCGGUACCGGAAUAGAAAGCCACGGCUAACUACGUGCCAGCCGCCGCGGUAAUAC